CCAUAUAGAAGGAAAAAGUAGUCUUCUCAACAAAUUGUGCUAAGACAACUGGCUAACCACAUGCCAAAGAAUGAAGGUAAGCCCCUGCCUAACAUGAUACACAAAAAUUAAUUCAACAUGGAUCAAGGACCUAAAUGUAAGAGCUAAAACUAUAAAAUUCUUAGAGGGCCAGGUAUGGUGGCUCAUGCCUGUAACCCCAGCACUUUCGGAGGCCGAGGCCAGGAGGAUGGCUUUAGCCCAGAGUUAGCGACCAGCCUGAGCAACAUGGUGAUUCCUCAUCUCUACAAAAUAAAAACAAAAAGUUGGGUGUGGUGGUAUAUGCCUAUAGUCCCAGCUACUUGGGAGGCUGAGAUGGGAGGAUCGCUUGGGCCAGAGAGGUUGAGGCUGCAGUGAGCCGUGAUUUAACUCUGUUCUUGGACAGAGAAAUCAGCCUCCCAUUAAAUUCAAUAUAUUCACUUAUUUGAUUAUGCUUCCUGCAUGCAACCAGUUUCCCAUAUUCUCUUCCACCCUUCCCUACUUGAACUAUUCCAAAUCAUGUUUAAUUAAGGCAGAAGAGAAGCAAAAAACCAAAAGAAGGCAGACAGAAAGGACAUAUACUCUUUUUCUACUACCUAAAUAGUUCCUAGAUAUUUAUUACAGCAGGCCCUCAAUAAUAAUGUUAACAAAAUUCACUGGGGCAUUUCCACCUCUUACUAUCUUCUGAAAUGACAAUUAGUAAAUCAGCUACUGUUAAGACUCUCCAACUACAGUGACAUCUAGGUCAGAGCUCUGGUUUAGAAACCAAUCUUAAACAACAGACUCUCCUCCCAUCCAACCAUCAAGGGGCCCCAAGUGAUUAGGUAUAAGAAAACCACUCAGUAGAAAAACGUCUCAGCCAAGUGUGGUGGCUCACGCCUGUAAUCCCAGCACUUUGGGAGGCCGAGGGGGGCGGAUCACAAGGUCAGGAGUUUGAGACCAGCCUGGCCAAUAUGAUGAACCCCUGCCUCUACUGAAAAUACAAAAACUAGCUGGGCGUGGUAUGGGUCCCUGUAGUCCCAGCUACUAGGGAGGCUGAGGCAGGGGAACUGCUUGAACCCAGGAGGUAGAGGUUGCAGUGAGCUGAGAUUGCGCCACUGCACUCCAGCCUGGGCAACAUGGUGAAACCCCAUCUCUACCAAAAAUAGAAAAAUUAGGCAGGUAUGGUGGUGUGCACCUGUAAUCCCAGCUACUCAAGAGGCUGAGGCUGGGGAAUCACUUGAACCCGGGAGGUGGAGGCUACAGUGAGCCAAGAUUGUGCCACUGCACUCCAGCCUGGGCGAUAGAGCAAGACCCUGUCUCAAAGAAAAAAAAAAAAAAGCAAAUUCAUUAAUUCAUUUAAAAAGCAAUAAGAAGUAUGGGGGUGUAGUUUCCCAGAUGUACUCUUUUGAAGUCCCUCACUGUUUAACAAUUAAAAUAUAAACCAGAGCCCAAAAUUCGUGUCAAAGAGAGAAUCAAAUGGUUGGUACUAUGAUGUACUGUGUCCUUGUGUGCCUCUGAGAUAAAUUAUUAUUUCUAGGCCUCAGUUUCCUUAUUUAUAAAAUGAGGAUGCUCAGUGAGAUCAGUGGCUCCCAGAAUGUGAGACUGGCUACACUGAAUCACUUGAAGGACACAUUAAAAUAUCUGAUUCCCAUUGCAGAUCCACUGAACCAGAUUCUUUGGGUAUUUUUAACAGGUUCUUCAGGUGAUGAUGAUAUAAAGAUAGGCUGGCAACCAUCUGACUAAACGAUGUUUAAGUUCCCAUCUUGUGCCAUACUAAAACUAUUCACUGAACUUUUUAUAUAUUGUCUAUAAUCUCAGAACAGCCUUUUUUUUUUUUUUGCUACCUCCCUGUUGGUGGAGAUACUCAUAACAGCCUUGAAAGACACGUAUAUUACUGUCACAGUUCUUUUUUUUGAGACAGAGUCUCGCUCUGUCGCCCAGGCUGGAGUGCAGUGGUGCAAUCUCUGCAAGCUCCACCUCCCGGGUGCACACCAUUCUCCUGCCUCAGCCUCCCAAGCAACUGGAACUACAGGUGCCCGCCAUCACGCCCGGCUUAUUUUUUGUAUUUUUAGUAGAGACGGGGUUUCACCGUGUUAGCCAGGAUGGUCUUGAUCUCUUGACCUCGUGAUCCACCCGCCUCGGCCUCCCAAAGUGCUGGGAUUACAGGCGUAAGCCACAGCACCCGGCCUAUUUCAAGUAACAAUUUAUUCUAUGGUUCUAUUAUUAUUCUGUAGGGUAAUUAAAACUUGUAUUAAAUGUUUUAUUUUAAAUGGGGAAAAAUUUCAAGUGUGUUAUGGGAGAUGACUGCUAAAAUUAAGUUUUGCACAGGAAGCUAGAGUACAAGUGGCAAGGCAAGAUAAGGUUCACAUCACAUCACCUCAGAAACUGGAACACGGAGAGACAAUACCCACCUUAACUGUGCCAUCGUCACUGCCAGUGCAGACAAGCUGAGGGCCUCUCCUGGCUGGAUAACAGGAAUUCACAAAGGAAGUAUGUCCCUUUAGCCUUUUAACCCUCUCACCUGUUUCACUAUCCCACACAGCCACGGUUUUAUCUGUGGAUGCUGAGAAAAGCAUACUAGAAAGUAAGAGAAAGAAUAAAAAAGAAAUAAGUGAAGAUAAACAGUAACAAUCUAUCUUUCCUACUUGACAAAAGGUGCCAAAUUUUUCAAGAUCACUGACCUGCUGUGCUACGCCAGUUUGCCCAUGAUGCUGGAAUGCCUCACCCUACCAAAAUCCUAUUUG
rnacentral:lncRNA from 1 species